CUCUAGGUAAACUGCAAUAAACCUGGGACUUGAUUCCUCUCUCUGGGUCUCUUCUUCAGGCUUACUGGACCAUCACCCACUCUAGGCAUAGAGUCUCGUGGGUUGCAGCUGCGCAUUGGCGUCCUAAUGAGAAAGGGGAAAUCCGGACAGAGACACACAGGGAGAACUCCAUAAGCAGAUGGAAGCAGAGAUUGGAGUCAUACAGCUGCAAGUCAAGGAGGACAGGUGACAUCAGAGGCUGGGAACGGUGAGCAGGGCUAGAAGUUGAAGAGAAGACAGCUUCUCCUGACAUCAGUUCCACACGUUCCUUCAUCUCACUGUUCUUUAAGAAGAAGUGACAGGCACUUUACUGAGACAACAUAAAGAGGACUGAAUGAGGAAAUAGAAUGUGAGUCCCCAAAAGACUGCCUGUCUUUUGGGCUGUGAUUUUGAAGUGGCUUGUGUAUUACCUGGCAAGACCACAAUAGGCUUUUGAAAAAGACAAGCAGACUCACAUUUGUUAAAGCUCUAAGUAGCUUGAAUCAAUGCUAGGCUGCCAAAGAUCAGCUAACUUUAGGCGAUACCCAGGGCCUUUUGCUUCAGAAGGUUUCCCUCUUAGGUGAAGAGUUUUAAAUAAAUCAUAGAAACAAAUCCUUCUUCAGUGUCUGCACACCACAUGCAGGACAUUGUUUUUGUCAUUCCGAGGUUUGCAAAGGAUGAUUCCUGCCUUUGAAAAGUCUAGAGUUUUGGCGGGAGUCAUAACAGAUAUUGCCAUAAAAUAUUUCAACCACUUGACUUCAAAUGUUUUGAAGACAAUCCCAAAAUCAUGAUAGCUUCAAAUUAUGCCAGCCAGGCCA
rnacentral:lncRNA from 1 species